rnacentral:rRNA from 1 species
UACGGGGGGAGCAAGCGUUGUUCGGAUUUACUGGGCGUAAAGGGCGCGUAGGCGGUCAGCACAAGUCAGUUGUGAAAUCUCCGGGCUUAACCCGGAAAGGUCAACUGAUACUGUGCGACUAGAGUGCGGAAGGGGCAACUGGAAUUCUCGGUGUAGCGGUGAAAUGCGUAGAUAUCGAGAGGAACACCUGCGGCGAAGGCGGGUAGCUGGGCCGACACUGACGCUGAUGCGCGAAAGCCAGGGAGCGAACGGG